ACAAAGCUCAAAUCUUCUCUAUUUUGAUCAAAACGGAGCUCCGAAAGGUAGAAGACGAUUAUCUGAUCAAAACCUAAAAGCUUGAUUUGAUUUGAUCGGAGUUUUUUUUAUCCCAAUUCUCUCUCUCUCUCUCUCUCUCUCUCUCUCUCUCUCUCUCUCCCCCUCCCUCCCUGCCUCCCGAAAAGUUGAAAAUGGAGCUGUCGUUCCCCGAGGAGGUGUUGGAGCACGUGUUCUCGUUCCUGCAGUUGGACGGCGAUCGGAACUCGAUCGCUCCUGUGCAAGUCGUGGUACGAGAUCUAGCGGUGAGAUGAAAAUUCAGAGCUGCGGUUUUUGCAUUAUCGGUAAUCUAUGAGUGCUUCUUAUCCUUUCUUCAAUCGCAUCGGAAUUUUUUGUUUUUGUUUUUACUAUUCUCGCUAUUCAUUUGAUUUUGGGGCUUGGCUUCGAGAACUAGUGUGGACGCUAGCUAAGUGUGCUUCGUUAAUUCAAAGAAAGGAAGACGAGGUGUACGAGCGGCUGCUUUGUAUGGUUGAGGAGUUGGGUCUUUGGUUUAGGUUCUUGGCCCAGAAAUGUUGAAAUCGGAAUUGCAACAUGGUGAGUUAAAAUGUGGUGGUACUCUGCGAGAGCGUGCUACCAGGCUUUUAUGCUUAAAUCUACCCCAUAGAGAAGAUUCCAAAGAAGCUGCUGGCAAAUAAAUGAGUACGUGAUGUGCUUCAUUUAACCCUUUAUAGAGCAAGUUUCUCCUUCAAGGCUUAAUUGUGUAACUAUAUAUUUGAAUCUAUAAGGUUCCUAGUUGUUGACUAUGUACUAUUGUGUACCAUUAUCCUUCGUGGAUAAUGUUGGUGGUUGUACAACUUUUUUUUGACGUAUAAUGAAUGCAAUACAACAAGGAUUGACAGUGACA